CCGCCCGUAGCUCAGUUGGUAGAGCAGGUGCCUCUUAAGCACUUGGUCGUAGGUUCGAGUCCUACCGGGCGGA
rnacentral:tRNA from 1 species